GUCCUCGAACAUGUCGGCAGAUUUUUGAGGAGGAGUGCGAGAUGCAGAGAGGAGGUCAUAUAUCUGCACCUCGUAUCCGGCGGACUUGAUUGUUUCGACGACGGUGGUGUAGUUUUUGGCAGGCGAGAACGAGCCGGGGAUCAUGAGAAUCACAGGUUUGGAGGCCAUUUUGACUAUUUCAAGGUCGAUCUUUUGGCUUUGGUCGUUGAGAAGGAGAUGAACGCUGUUGCUUUCGUUAUUGAGAGUGGGAUUCUGGUGUUCGUAUGCUGAUCUGAUGUUGGACAAACCUGCUGUAUAUAUAUACUUCAUCUGCAUGCGUGGGCCCAAACGUCGGCUUUUGUUCACUGCCCUCGCCGCGUCACUGCUUGUUCAGCACUCGCGUCUUGUGCAUUUGUGUUCU
rnacentral:misc_RNA from 1 species